rnacentral:rRNA from 1 species
AGGACGAACGCUGGCGGCGUGCUUAACACAUGCAAGUCGAGCGGUAAGGCCUCUUCGGGGGUACACGAGCGGCGAACAGGUGAGUAACACGUGAGCAAUCCGCCCUUCACUUCGGGAUAAGCCUCGGAAACGGGGUCUAAUACCGGAUAUGACCGUGCCAUGCAUGUGGUGUGGUGGAAAGUUCUGGCGGUGGAGGAUGAGCUCGCGGCCUAUCAGCUUGUUGGUGGGGUAAUGGCCUACCAAGGCUUCGACGGGUAGCCGGCCUGAGAGGGUGACCGGCCACACUGGGACUGAGACACGGCCCAGACUCCUACGGGAGGCAGCAGUGGGGAAUGUUGGACAAUGGGCGAAAGCCUGAUCCAGCAACGCGCGUGAGGAUGACGGCCUUCGGGUUGUAACCUCUUUCAGCGCCGACGAGCGAGAGUGACGGUAGGCGCAGAAGAAGCACGGCCAACUACGUGCCAGCACGCCGC